GAUGAACGCUAGCGGCAGGCCUAACACAUGCAAGUCGAGGGGCAGCACGUCUUCGGAUGGUGGCGACCGGCGCACGGGUGCGUAACGCGUAUGCAACCUACCUUUAACUGGAGCAUAGCCCCGAGAAAUCGGGAUUAAUACUCCAUAACAACAAGAAGUGGCAUCACUUUUCAUUUAAAGCUUUGGCGGUUAAAGAUGGGCAUGCGUGACAUUAGUUAGUUGGUGAGGUAACGGCUCACCAAGACUUCGAUGUCUAGGGGUUCUGAGAGGAUUAACCCCCACACUGGUACUGAGACACGGACCAGACUCCUACGGGAGGCAGCAGUGAGGAAUAUUGGUCAAUGGGCGCAAGCCUGAACCAGCCAUGCCGCGUGAAGGAUGAAGGCCUUAUGGGUUGUAAACUUCUUUUAUACGGGAAUAAACUUAGUUACGUGUAACUAACUGCAGGUACCGUAUGAAUAAGCACCGGCUAACUCCGUGCCAGCAGCCGCGGUAAUGUGACU
rnacentral:rRNA from 1 species